rnacentral:rRNA from 1 species
GAGUACGUGAAACCGUUUAGGGGUAAACCUGAGAAACCCGAAAGGUCGAAGGGAGAAAUUCAUUCGCGUUUCGUCAUCGGCGGUUAGCUGUCGUGCGACGGAAACGUCAUUUGUCGUUUUCGCACCUUCAGUUAGUCGAACCGGAGACGAACGCGUGCACUUUUCUCCUGGUAGGACGUCGCGAUCCGUCGGGUGUCGGUCUACGGCUCACGGUGGAGCCCGUUCGUCGUUUUUCGGAACGUGUACGAGCGGACCCGUGUGUUUCCCGACCGACCCGCUCGACGGUAUACGAAUGGUUCGGAGCCGCUUAUUGAGCGUUCGGCUCGUGGCAAGCGCAUCAGAUGUCGUUGGCAAUCGGACCUAGUGCCGAUUCUAACCUCUGACACUGUUGGCUGCGAAGUUCUCGAACAGACUCCGUUUCUCCUGUGAGAAAAAACCGAUCUGCGACGCUAUAGCUUUGGGUACUUUCAGG